AUUAUACUCCCUUCAUCCGAAAUUACUUGUCGCACAAAUGGAUGUAUUUAGACUUAUUUUAGUUUUAGAUACAUCCAUUUCUAUGCAUUUUUGUGACAAGUAAUUUCGGACGAAGGGAGUAUGAA
rnacentral:pre_miRNA from 1 species